AGCGCAUGCGCAAUUCAUCCCCAGCCUGUCUCCGUAAGGGUGUCGAUUCUCAAGCUGGAACAUUGGAGGAAAAAAGAUACUCUAUUUUACCCACAAAACAGCCAAAAAACAAACGGAUGUGCUUCAGAAAACGAAACGGCUACCGCCCUCCAGAUCAUUUUAAUGCCAAAAUUGAGAGGUCCGCGGCCUGCGGGGGGAUGACAUGCAUGUGUCCAGGCAUUUAACAUCAUUGAGGACUUUAAGACUAGUAGGCUGCCCUCCGCCAAGCCAUGAUGGACAUUCUGUACACAGGCCCAGUCCCGGCAGACCGCGAGUCUCCGAUGACGCGGAGCGAGACGUCCCCCAGCCGCGCCCAGCAUCCCUCGUCCACACAGAAACCCAACACCUGCUGCUUCUGCUGGUGCUGCUGCUGUAGCUGCUCAUGGAAUGAAGAUGACAAGCGCGAGCGGAGGAAAGCCCAGGAGACAAGGCUGGAGCCCUUUCCAUGUGAACCUUGGUGAGAACACACACAUACACUAGAUACUGUUUUCAUCAUGAGGGUUGAGCUGUUUCUCUCAACCAAGUCAUCAUGGACUAUUAUGUUUGUUAGGAAUGUGAA